AGGUCCUGGGGGAGGGCGCAGAGCAGGCAGGCGAGCAGGCAGGAGCAGAGGCCUCAGGCUCGCUCAACUCUGGCUCUGAGGACUCGAGCUCAUGGCUGCUGCAUCUCCACGUGAGGCUCCUCCACCAACGUCCAUCCGUUCUCCUCGAGGUUCUCCGUCCCACACCAAGAAGAUGUACUCGCCCGCAUUUCUCAACCGAAUCCUGAGUUGAAAGCUGUACAGGUGCUUAAAACCCGGAGAAUUUGUCAGCGUUGUGAUUGAAUACUUGGACAGGGGACAGUAGGCCGGUGACUCGCAGGACUGCACCCGGAUCUCAGCUUGGUGGACAGAGAGAGUCAAGUCUGCGAGACAGAACGCCACGUUCCAGUUGUGCCUGUGAUGAUGUCACACUGACUUGUGCCUGGGAAAAGCGUCCUGGGAGCGAUGGAGUCAGGGUGCAGCAAGCUGAAAAGACGAAUGCUAACACGACGGUUUCUUUGUGCUGAGAUGCAAACACAACCAAGAACAUGUCUUGGGAUAGCUCCAUGCUAGAACUGCCAGAGGAGCGGUGGGUGCCCUUUGACAUUCUGUCACUGUGGCCGAAGGCGUUCAUUCCAUCAUGGCCACACUCUCAGUGUGCUAUCAAAGGCUCUGCCCUAUGCCUGCACCAUCAUUCUGUCAGAGACAAAUUACAAGUGGAGCCAAGGAAAAACCACACUACACAUGAAUGGGGAUGGACAGCUUUGAUCUCUCUGCCUCUGAUCCUGAUCUCGGAGCCCCCAAGCCUGUUCUGUGCCCGCACAGGUUCAAACUGAUAACCCACGUGAGUGGCGGGUUCCAGGAUGAAGGUCCCUUCCGCUAUUCUAAUUUUUGGAUUUACAGCCCAGACACUGGAGGGCAAGAUGCUCAAGAGUCCUGAUUUUUCAGGCUUUGAUGGUAAAGGUGGAUGGGAGACCUGAGUUAGAGAGAUGGCCAAAUGAUAUUCUCCUGUUGCUCUCAGAUCUCCGUCUGAGUGUUCAUUGUAGGAAUUCUGGAUAUCACAGUGGAGCAGACAGGCGCCCAGCUUGAGGGACAGCGUGUUGUGAUUAUAAAAAAGAUAAAGCGGUAUUAAGGCAGGGGAGGGGCUGAGAACCCCCCAGGUCCGCUGACACUUCAGGAGAAGGGAAGGGGCAGGGUGAGAGAGAGAGUUCAUGCCAGGAUCCACUCCAGGACAGCAUCAUGGAGAGAGAGAGCUGUGGUGUGAACUUCAUGUCCGCUACCUUCGGAUGGAGCGUUUUUCGUUAGCCUUUAAGACUGUGGCUCUCCGGCUGGAGAGAUGGCUCAGCGGUUAAUAGCACUGACUGCUCUACAGAGGUCCUGACUUCAAAUCCCAGCAACCACAUUGU